rnacentral:rRNA from 1 species
UACGUAGGGAGCAAGCGUUGUCCGGAAUCAUUGGGCGUAAAGCGCGCGUAGGCGGCUUCAUAAGUCCGUUGUGAAAGUCAAAGGCUCAACCUUUGAAAGCCGAUGGAUACUGUGAGGCUAGAGUCCGGAAGAGGCGAGUGGAAUUCCUGGUGUAGCGGUGGAAUGCGCAGAUAUCAGGAGGAACACCAAUAGCGAAGGCAGCUCGCUGGGACGGUACUGACGCUAAGGCGCGAAAGCGUGGGGAGCGAACAGG